rnacentral:rRNA from 1 species
UACGUAGGGUGCGAGCGUUGUCCGGAAUUACUGGGCGUAAAGAGCUCGUAGGUGGUUUGUCGCGUUGUUCGUGAAAACUCACAGCUUAACUGUGGGCGUGCGGGCGAUACGGGCAGACUGGAGUACUGCAGGGGAGACUGGAAUUCCUGGUGUAGCGGUGGAAUGCGUAGAUACUGGGAGGAACACCGGUGGCGAAGGCGGCUACCUGGACCGGUUCUGACACUGAUGCGCGAAAGCGUGGGGAGCAAACAGG